rnacentral:rRNA from 1 species
GGGGGCUAGCGUUGUGCGGAAUUACUGGGCGUAAAGCGCGCGCAGGCGGCUAUCCAAGUCAGUGGUGAAAGCCCGGAGCUCAACUCCGGAACUGCCAUUGAAACUGUUUAGCUUGAGGACGAGAGAGGUGAGUGGAAUUCCCAGUGUAGAGGUGAAAUUCGUAGAUAUUGGGAAGAACACCGGUGGCGAAGGCGGCUCACUGGCUCGUUUCUGACGCUCAGGCGCGAUAGCGUGGGGAUCAAACAGG